UACAGAGGUGGCAAGCGUUGUUCGGAAUUACUGGGCGUAAAGGGCGCGUAGGCGGCCUUCUCAGUCGGACGUGAAAUCCCCAGGCUUAACUUGGGAACUGCGUCCGAUACUGGAAGGCUUGAGUGCGGGAGAGGGAUGUGGAAUUCCAGGUGUAGCGGUGAAAUGCGUAGAUAUCUGGAGGAACACCGGUGGCGAAGGCGGCAUCCUGGACCGACACUGACGCUGAGGCGCGAAAGCUAGGGGAGCAAACGGG
rnacentral:rRNA from 1 species